rnacentral:rRNA from 1 species
CAAUACUGACGCUAAGGCGUGAAAGCGUGGGGAGCAAACGGGAUUAGAUACCCCGGUAGUCCACGCCCUAAACGAUGAACACUAGUCGUCGGAAUGCUAGUCAUUUCGGUGAUGCACUUAACAGAUUAAGUGUUCCGCCUGGGGAGUACGGUCGCAAGAUUAAAACUCAAAGGAAUAGACGGGGACCCGCACAAGUGGUGGAGCAUGUGGUUUAAUUCGAAGAUACGCGAAGAACCUUACCUAGCCUUGACAUUGAUUGAACACUUUAGAGAUAGAGUGGUGCCCUUCGGGGAACAUGAAAACAGGUGCUGCACGGCUGCCGUCAGCUCGUGUCGUGAGAUGUUGGGUUAAGUCCCGCAACGAGCGCAACCCUCGUCCUUAGUUGCCAGCAGGUUAAGCUGGGCACUCUAAGGAGACUGCCUUCGUAAGGAGGAGGAAGGUGAGGACGACGUCAAGUCAUCAUGGCCCUUAUGGCUAGGGCUACACACGUGCUACAAUGGGGCGUACAGAGUGUUGCGAUACCGCGAGGUGGAGCUAAUCACUUAAAGCGUCUCUCAGUUCGGAUUGGAGUCUGCAACUCGACUCCAUGAAGCUGGAAUCACUAGUAAUCGUAGAUCAGCAAUGCUACGGUGAAUACGUUCCCGGGUCUUGUACUCACCGCCCGUCACAUCAUGGGAGUUGAUUUCACCCGAAAUUGGGAAGCUAACCUUCGGGAGGCUACGACUUACGGUGGAAUUAGCGACUGGGGUGAAGUCGUAACAAGGUA